UUUAAUGGCCGCAGUAUUUUGACUGUGCAAAGGUAGCAUAAUCAUUAGUUUCUUAAUUAGGAGCUGGUAUGAAAGGUUGGACGAAAAAGUAGCUGUCUCUUUAUAAAUUAGUUAUAAUUUUAUUUUUAAGUUAAAAAGCUUAAAUAGUUUUAAUAGACGAGAAGACCCUAUAGAGUUUUAUAUAUUUAUUUAUUAAUAAUUUAAAUAGAAUUUUAAAAAUUUUACUGAAAAAUAUAUUUAGUUGGGGUGAUUGAAAAAUUUAUUUAACUUUUUUUUUAUUAAACCAUUAAUUUAUGAUUUAUUGAGCCAUAUUUUAUGAUUAUAAGAUAAAAUUACCUUAGGGAUAACAGCGUAAUUUCUUUUUAGAGUUCAAAUCGAUAAAGAAGUUUGCGACCUCGAUGUUGGAUUAAAAUUUAAUUUUGGUGUAGUAGCUAAAAAUCUAGGUCUGUUCGACCUUUAAAAUUUUACAUGAUCUGAGUUUAAACCGGUGUGAGCCAGGUUGGUUUCUAUCUUUAAACUAUAAAAAUAUUUUAGUACGAAAGGACCAAAUAUUUGUAUAAAAUAUUAAUAAUUGAAUUUUAUUAAU
rnacentral:rRNA from 1 species